AUAACAUGACUGCAUAGUUUCACCAUCUGCAACAGGGAAUGACAAUAGUGCCCUCCUAUAAGGAAAGGUUCUCCCUGCCCCCCAUAAUUUCUUCCACCAUCUUCCAACCAUAGCCCCUCUUUUUCUUUUGGGAAGCUGCUCCUCCCCCACUCAAUCCAUGUGGCUCUUUCAAAUGCACCCACUACUAGGUUUCAUGGCUGGACGUGUAAUCCAAGCCUGGCUAGUCAAAAUCAAAGACUAGGUCAGGGAUCGUCAUAUGAUCCAGUGUAAGCCAACGAGAGUUUGUUUCAGGAAUUUUGCUAAAAUAUUGUGAAAGAUCUCUUUCCAUAGGCUUUGAACUUAGAGCUACUAGUGGCCAUCUUGAGGAGAGCUAAUGAAUAAAGCCAACAGAAAGAAAGACAAACCUGAGAGUUGGAGAGAAACAGAUUCCUAAGAACAUUGAGUUCAGGGAUCCAGCCACGCCUGAGGCAUCCCCUGGUCUUUUCAAUUACAUGUGUCAAGGCAUUCCCUUUUUUGCUUAAACUCAUUUGAGAUGAGUAUCUGUCACUUGCAACCUAAGGAGUGCUGACUAAUACAUUCUCUCUCAAGGUUAUUACGAGGAGUAAAUGAGAUAAUGUUAUGUCAAGUACUUCGCACAGUACAUGCAUGGUACAUGACAAGAGCUCAAUAAAUAAUUGAAAGCCAGCCAUCCCAUUUUCAAAUCCUGCUAAGUGCAAAGCUUUCUGGAAGGACUGACUCCCCAGUGUAGGCCAUGCUCACCAGGAAAUCCUCAGCACUCAGCAAAUACCAAAACACUUCAUAUCACCCUUUUCUCCUUUGAGUGGCUUCUGAUCUGUGCAACUCCCAGAAUUGAUCCAGGUAUUAUUCCUCCCUAUGCCAUGUCUUCUUGUCAUGGUGACUAUUUCAUCUGACCUUUCUCCUCUCUGACAUAUGUCAUGCCAAAUCCAGGAUAUCCUAUAAAUUGUAAGCAACUUAUAGGGUUCAGAAAGCAAUUCUGGGUGAGGGUUUUAACCUGCAUUUGAUUAAACACUACCUCCUUCCUGCCCAAUGCUUUAGGCAAAAGAAAACAAUUUUCCUUCUCUGAUCUACUCUGUCCUAGUCUAAAACCUCUUUUCUCCCUGUACUGCCACCUCUAAUUUUAUUCCUGAGGUCCCAUUUCAUAUUUAUGAGGAAUAUGAAGCUGGUUAGGGGAAAAAAGAAGUGCAUUUUAGCUUAAAUAUCACAAAGAAGCAGAUGAUCCAAGGAGGAAGAAGAGUGGACCUGCAGGCUCCUUUGCAAAGGCACUAGGCAGAGUGAGCAAGAAUUUAAUGGCUGUCACUGGCCAGACCACAAGGCCCUUAAGUCAGUCAUUUAUUUCACACACACACAUGGCCCAGCCUAAGCAGGAGGCAAGGGAGAAAGGAUUCUUUUAUGAUUCUGGCUUCCCUAAAACUCUCCAUAAAAACAAUAAUGAUAAAAUUAUAUGCCGAAUUGGCUGUUUAUUGAAUGGAGCCCAGUCUGUGGGCCAAGUGUGGCUCAGAGGGAGCACUAUGUAUCUUGCCAAGGAGGGGCAAGGGGCCAAAGGAAGCAUUCUCCCCAUCACUGUUUCAGUGAGAAGACCUAUGUCUAAUCCCCCAAAUCAGGUCACCUCUCAUCAUUCAUCUUGCUGCACAGUUUAAUGUGACAGCCACAAAAACGGAAAGGAAGUUGGACUGGCCAAGUGUUUCUGAGCAUUCAGAGGGAGCUGGAUCAACCUUAGAGGCAGGAACAGCUGCAUAAUUUGUGGGCCCAGUGCACAAUGAAAAUGUGGAGUCUCUUAUCCAAAAAUUAUUAAGAAUUUCAAGAUGGCAGCAGCAGAACUUUAAACCAAACAUAAGACCCAUCUAAGCAUGAGGCCCUAUGUGGCUACACCGGUCACAUGUCCCUGAAGCUUACCAUGCCCAGAAUCAAGGGAUCCAGCAAAGCAGGAAGGAUAAAAUAAGGCACAAUGAAACAGAUUCCCAUCUCCAUUUUCUAUUUUUGUUUGUUAGGGAGCAUACCUGUCUCAGGUAUGCAGACUUCAUGGUGGUCUUUUGUACCAUAACAGUCCAGGGAGAGAAAUGUUUUAAGCCCCAGGGGAGGGGAGGGUCCCCAACCCACAACGGGAGCUGCCUUCUCAGUGUUUUAAGAACCCAGAUGCCACAUUCUGCUAUAGGUCUCAGCUGACAUCUCCCCUUCAUGGGAAGAAAACCAUUGGUGUACAAAAAGGAGAAACAGAAUAUGGCAAUGGCAGAAUAUGGCAAAUCAUGACAUCUAAUGAUGAACCUUAGGACAUGGAAGUUUAGAUUCAGCAUACAAAAAUCUUUAAUAAUGUGAACUUCAGUUUAAAGUGGUGGAAUGGGGACUUUAUAAAGAGAGGCCAGUCUGAAGGGCAGAAUUAUAAUUUUAUUCCUUCCAAGUUCAGUGUCCAAGCCACUAAUCUAUUCUUCAAACCACUGCCUUAUACAAAUCUUUAGGGAAUCUGUGACUUAUUUUGGAUUAUCUUGCAACUGAUGUGUGUAUAUAGUAGAUGUUUUUAAAACUUGAGAGAGCUUAAAGUACAUUUUCCUCAGGAUUGUCCCAUUUAUAGCUCUCAGGUGCCCCUAAUUAUUUACACUUUGAAGACUGGAUUUGCCAAACAAAAGCAAAUUACAAUUCACCCCCUACUUAAAGCCUUAAAUGUUAUUCAAAAGAUGGUUGGACUUGAACUUAAAAAAAUGUUAAAUUGGAAAUUAUUAUUUAACAAUGGGCUGGUCCAGUGGUUACAAAGACCAGGCUUCCAGCCCUGAUAUGACAGAACCAUCUGGGAAGCUUUUAGAAAAAUAUGGAUUUCCUGAACCUUUCCCCAGAAAAUGUUCAGUCAUGAAAGUGAAGCUAGGGAAUGUGUAUUUCAAUAAAACUAUUGGUUUAAUUUGGUAAACAUUAAAGAGAACUAUAUGGGCAGAAGCAUCACAAGUCAAACAACCAAACACAAAGUAGGAGUUAAUCUGAGUUACACAGAGGGACCUGGGUCUGAGAGCUAGAAGUGAAAGUGUAUCAUACAAGACCCUCCAAGCCAGCACAGGCACUAUAUAUACAUAGGCCCACACACUGGAACAGGACUCUACACAUGAGACUGCAGAAUGCAUAUAAUUUAUCCACAAAGGAAUAUUUUGUGUCCAAGCUCUGAUCAUGGCUUAACUUCAGACUUGCCAUGGCAUGUCCCCCAUUCCUCCCAUCGUGAGGAUAGUGGUGCUUUUGUCUGUCCCCUCUCUCACCCCCAACUAACUGGGAGAAAUCCUAAAAGGCUUAAGCAGCCCUUGGGAAGGGCCCAUCAUUUCAGGAAUCCCUUUGUUGACUGAGGCAGUUCCCACUGCAUGGCGGGAGGAUCUGGAAGCAGAACACAUCCAAGGUCCACAGUCACAAACCCAGAGAUUUCAUUCUCAUGCUGUGGCCUGUAGGCCUUUCUAUAGUAGGUUCCCCCAGUUUCCCUCUUUCCCUUUUUAGUGUCUUACUUGGUGCCUUUCUCUUUUCUGUGAGCAGUUGGUCCUCCUCAUCCCCUAGUGGCUUGUAGUUGGUCUGUUACUGUCACUCCACAUGGUCACUCCUUUCAGUCCCAGCAGGCACAAUGAUUUGGACACCCUCUUCACAUAGCUGUCAACCCAUCUCUCUAGGCUAUAGUCUGCAUGGCCAUUGACUGGGAUUAGGUUUCCUUUUUUUGCUGCUAAAAGUGUAUCUUUGUCAGUGCUGUGGGUCUUGGGAUGAUUCCUCUGCCUUAGCAGAAUGUUAUAAUCAGUUUCCAAGAGCAUCCUUAAGAGGCAAAUUUCUAAUGUCUGCUAAUAAGGAAUGGCUCUGAACAAAGUAGCCUGGAUUAGCCUUGCAAAAGUGAAAAUGACAACAGGGCCUGCCUCCAAAAUGCUGCAAUAUUACAUGCAUGCCCUGCCUGCCUCUGCCUUGAAACCCUACAAGCCACCAUCUCGAGAACAUCAAAAGAAAUAUUUUAUGCUUCAAGAGCAUGCCAGAUUCUAGAGGUACUGCCAUUCAAAAUAAACUCUUCUCCAAGUGACUGAAAAUGCUAUUUCCCCUCAUUUGUGGGAAAGCAUAAAUAAUUAGGACAGCGUGAGAUGGGGAAACCAGCAGAGGGAGAAUUUGAUACACUAAACACAUGGGAAGCAGCAGGAGUAGCCACAGGGCUGGCUAAAGAACAGGAGUCAAAAGCAAAGAACGUUGACACUGAGCACACAUGGGAGGCACAGUCACUAUUUCUCCAGAAGGUUAUUCUUCUUACUGCAUCUUAAAGAUGCUAGAAAAUACAUCCAAGUUCUUUCCAGGCUGAUGCAGUUGCUAAAACAUAUGUAUGACACUCAAUAAUUCCAUGUGCAUCAUUUAAAAUACAUUUUUAAGCUCUCUAUUUUGAAAAACUUAUAAUUGAGUCAUUCACUAAGAGUGGUCUCUGGACAGGUGUGCAUUUGAGAACUGUUUAUUCCAGGUCUACAAAAAAUAUAGGAAGUGGGAGUAAGCAUUUAGAAAUGUUUAUAUGAAUUUUAUACUACCACAAUAUUUUUACUCUAUUUUAAAAAUGUAAAAUCAAAUGAAUUUUUUUUCAAAUGAAUUGAAAAAAUUGGCUUUUCAAUCACAUGUGGUUUGGGAAGCACCAAAAUAGCACCCAUGUUCGCAUCACCUAGAUUUAAUUGUUUCUAAAAAACUGGCAGAAAUGCAAAAUACUUCAUAGAAGAAUACUGUAUGAGGAGGAUAUAAAAUUAUGCACCUAAGAUUUGCUUUUAAAUUACUUCUUUAACUUCUUAACUGGCUUUUCUGUCUUAGUAGCUUAUCAUUGCCUUGAAGGUAGUGUGACCAGAAAGUCAGGGUUCCAUUUGUCAUGUUUCCACUUUCUAAUAUA
rnacentral:lncRNA from 1 species